UUCUCUCCUUUCCUUUCUUUCUUUUCCCCUCCCAUCAUCUGACCUGCAAAGGCUAGAGUGACAGCGUCAUGCAAAUGCUGCAGUCCAGCAGGUCUGGGAGAGGGUGGAUGCUAGACUGUGAGUUAAUGUUAAUGAUGAGCGCAGUGAAAAUACCAGCCGCUGCCACCCCCUGCACACAGAAGCGCUCUGAGUCAGCAUCAGAUGCUUUGCCUCGCCUCUCGCCGUGUGUCUGUAUGCCUGUGUGCGCGCGCGUGCUCGCUCGGGCAUCCGUGUCUAGCCGAGGGGAGGGGGUGGCGUGUGAGUGCGUGGAGGGUAAAAGCCAGUCAGUCAGUGAGAAGCAAAGAUCAACCACUUCAGAAGAACCAGAUUCUACUUCUGUGGCCAGGACUUUUAUGUUAUGGCUGGUCCGAUUGUUUUACCCUGCGUUCUGUGCUACUAAGCCUUGGAUCAUUCCUAAAGUACAAAUUCUGUUCUCGAACCACAAACAAGGCUAAAAGAUCGGAGGAAAUUCAGUGAAUAUACUGGAUUGAGAUUGUGUGUUUUCAAGAGUAUCGAGCAUUAUAAUGUAGUUAUUCAAGAAAUAGAAUCAUUUUUCUUUCUUAUGAUGUUGCCAGGAUUUUAAGUUACAUGUUUAUUAAGUGGCAUUGCUCAAAUAACUACAGAGUAUGCAUGGAAAUAUUUGUUGUCUGGGUAGUUUGGAGAUUUAAUGAAAAAAAUUGAGCUUCAGAGGUAUUAAAUUAUGACAUGCAAAAAAGUUUUUGUUUGAUUCUUAACUGCAACGGUAUAUGUGUAAAUCAGAUUUAGAGGGUUAUAU
rnacentral:lncRNA from 1 species